rnacentral:rRNA from 1 species
UACGUAGGGGGCAAGCGUUGUCCGGAUUUAUUGGGCGUAAAGCGCUCGCAGGUGGUUUGUCGCGUCGUGCGUGAAAGACCCCGGCUCAAUUGGGGAGGGUCGUGCGAUACGGGCGAACUGGAGGCCAGUAGGGGGAUGCGGAAUUCCGGGUGUAGUGGUGGAAUGCGUAGAGAUCCGGAGGAACACCAGCGGCGAAGGCGGCAUCCUGGACUGGUCCUGACACUCAGGAGCGAAAGCGUGGGGAGCGAUCCGG